GGAAUCACUGGGCGUAAAGAGCGUGUAGGCGGGUAUCUAAGUCAGAUUUGAAAUCCAAUAGCUUAACUAUUGAACUGCUUUUGAAGCUGUAUACCUAGAAUGUGGGAGAGGUAGAUGGAAUUUCUGGUGUAGGGGUAAAAUCCGUAGAGAUCAGAAGGAAUACCGAUUGCGAAGGCGAUCUACUGGAACAUUAUUGACGCUGAGACGCGAAAGCGUGGGGAGCAAACAGGAUUAGAUACCCUGGUAGUCCACGCCCUAAACGAUGUACACUAAUUGUUGUGAGGCUCGACCUUGCAGUAAUGCAGUAACACAUUAAGUGUACCGACUGGGGAGUACGGUCGCAAGAUUAAACUCAAAGGAUAGACGGGGACCCGCACAAGCGGUGGAGCAUUGUGGUUUUAAUUCGACGAUACACGAAGAACCUUACCUGGACUUGACAUAGUAAGAACUUUCUAGAGAUAGAUUGGUGUCUGCUUGCAGAAACUUAUAUACAGGUGCUGCACGGCUGUCGUCAGCUCGUGUCGUGAGAUGUUGGGUUAAGUCCCGCAACGAGCGCAACCCUCGUCAUUAGUUGCUAACAGUUCGGCUGAGAACUCUAAUGAGACUGCCUACGCAAGUAGGAGGAAGGUGAGGACGACGUCAAGUCAUCAUGGCCCUUACGUCCAGGGCUACACACGUGCUACAAUGGGGUAUACAAAGAGCAGCAAUACGGUGACGUGGAGCGAAUCUCAAAAAUAUCUCCCAGUUCGGAUUGUAGUCUGCAACUCGACUACAUGAAGUUGGAAUCGCUAGUAAU
rnacentral:rRNA from 1 species